rnacentral:rRNA from 1 species
GACGAACGCUGGCGGCGUGCUUAACACAUGCAAGUCGAACGGAAAGGCCCUGCUUUUGUGGGGUGCUCGAGUGGCGAACGGGUGAGUAACACGUGAGUAACCUGCCCUUGACUUUGGGAUAACUUCAGGAAACUGGGGCUCAUACCGGAUAGGAGCUCCUGCUGCAUGGUGGGGGUUGGAAAGUUUCGGCGGUUGGGGAUGGACUCGCGGCUUAUCAGCUUGUUGGUGGGGUAGUUGCUUACCAAGGCUUUGACGGGUAGCCGGCCUGAGGGGGUGACCGGCCACAUUGGGACUGAGAUACGGCCCAGACUCCUACGGGAGGCAGCAGUGGGGAAUAUUGCACAAUGGGCGGAAGCCUGAUGCAGCAACGCCGCGUGCGGGAUGACGGCCUUCGGGUUGUAAACCGCUUUCGCCUGUGACGAAGCGUGAGUGACGGUAAUGGGUAAAGAAGCACCGGCUAACUACGUG